UGAAAAUAUAACUUGGUAUAAACAUGAUGGAAACAUAACUAAAACAAUAUUUGACUUCAGUAACAAUACUGAAGCUGACUCUGAGUUUCAAGGGAGGGUGUCACUGUUGGAGCCUAACCAGAAAAAUAAGAACUGCAGCAUCAUCAUCAAUAAUCUCACCAAGUCGGACUCUGGAUCAUAUCACGUUGUUGUUAAGACAGAGACUCACUGCACAUUGAUUUCUGAUGCAAACGUCACAGUCACAGUUACAGAGCUGAGUGAAAGGCCCACACUAGAGAUUCCUGAAAUAACAGAGGGAGAGCAGACUACACUGACGUGCAGCACUCCUCUUCUUUGCCCUGGAUCCACAAUCACCUGGAUAUGGAGUGGAUCAGGACAAAACCCAUCUGAAAUCAAAGAAAACAACAGUGAAUUCAAGUCUAAGAAUCAGACUGAUUUCAAGUCAACUCUGACCUUUAACGCUCAAGCUAAACACAACGGUGGUCAGGUCACCUGUAAGGUCACCUUCAAAAGUGUCACAACAAAUGAGACAAAAACUCUUAAUGUCAAGUAUGCACCAAGAAUCUUGAAUGACUCUAAUUGUAGUGCUCAGUCAAAGGUUUUGACCUGUGUGUGUAUCAGUGAGGGGUUUCCUUCACCCACCAUCAAAUGGCCACACUUGGAGAGCCACACUGAGUACUGUGUAACAACCAAUGUGUCAAACACCAGAGUCACCAGCACCAUCACUGUGUCCCACGAUCACUGUCAGAACACCACUAUUGAAUGUGUCAGCAGUAAUAGUAUUAGAAAUACCUCAUUAAAUGUCAGCCUUAUAAUAAAGGAGUGCAAUGUUAAUUCAUCAUCACCUGAAGAAAAAAAUAACGAAAAAACUGGAGGAGGUCUGAAAAGCUGGAGACUGUGACCACUGAAGCAGUACCAAUGCUGGAUGCUGAUCAAACAACAGUAUAAGAUGGGACCCAUGAGCGAGAGGCAGCUGAAGAAGAAACGUGGUCAUGUGAGAAUGCAUCGCUGGUGCCGAUGAUGACAUGGCACCAAAGAGGUGGAGAACGUUGACAAUGACGUCUUGCAGUAAAAACCAGGAAGGAGAGGAGAAACAGAAUAUGCUGAAAUAAAGACAGAAAAAAGGGACAAUGAUGAUCAUGUGUUGUUGCAGCACUUACAAAAAAGGAAAAUUAUUCAGAUAUUAGGCUGUGCUGUAUAAUGCAGUCUAAAUAAAACAAUAACAGGGUUUCUAAUAUAGAUGUAGAUCCUGGCAAAGAGGUUUUCAUAAAACACACUCUCAUGUGAUGGCUCCUUGUAAGUGGCAGUCCUUAGUGGGGAUUAGCUAAAGAUAUCAAGACAUGCAAUCUUAAUGUAAUGCUAUGCUACUCCACUUCAUUUAAUACAAGGAAACUUUGAGUUGUCAACUAUACUGUGUAAUAAAUGUAACAAAUCUACAUAUUAACUCCAAUUUCAACAAAAGCAUAACCAAAGUGAAACUGUGUGAAUCUUUGUGGAGACGUUCUUGUAUGCAAAAAAAGCAUCUGUACAUUUCACAUAUGUCUGUAUACUGUAUCAGGCAAAAUCAGUAGCUUCAUGUAACAGUUUUUGUUUUAUCACUUCAAU
ensembl:lncRNA